rnacentral:rRNA from 1 species
AUUGAACGCUGGCGGCAGGCUUAACACAUGCAAGUCGAGCGGAGCGGCGGACGGGUGAGUAAUGCCUAGGAAUCUGCCUGGUAGUGGGGGAUAACGUCCGGAAACGGGCGAUAAUACCGCAUACUAUCAGAUGAGCCUAGGUCGGAUGAGCUAGUUGGUGGGGUAAAGGCCUACCAAGGCGACGAUCCGUAACUGGUCUGAGAGGAUGAUCAGUCACACGGGAACUGAGACACGGUCCAGACUCCUACGGGGGGCAGCAGUGGGGAAUAUUGGACAAUGGGCGAAAGCCUGAUCCAGCCAGGCCGCGUGUGUGAAGAAGGUCUUCGGAUUGUAAAGCACGUUAAGUUGGGAGGCGUUACCCGCAGAAGAAGCACCGGCUAACUCCGUGCCAGCAGCCGCGGUAAUAC